rnacentral:lncRNA from 1 species
UAACUCCGAUUAAUGAUCCGUCAAUUUUUUUGGAUUCAUAUCUUUUCGAACUAUAGUUUUCAUAUAUCACAAUCCAUAUUUGGAUAUGUUUAGCUCCCGGAAUUUAGCCCGGAAGUGACUGCUCCAAAACUGUCCUUUUCACAGUUUUCUUAACUUUGUGUAGUUUGGUAAAAAUCCCAUAACUUGCUCCUCCGAUAUCGGAUUUAGUCCGUUUCGGAGUCUAUUGAAAGCUUAUUGAGUGUACUAUAACAUAUCACAAGUCCAGAAUUUUUAGAGCACCCUAACAAAUCCGGAAUUUUCUGUUUAGAGCAGCAGUUCACUAAUUCAUUUAAAACAAAAAAACUGUUUUGGUUCAUCUUCUUUGUUCAAGCUUAUCAACCCUAAAGAUGGCAAGAUCUAACCAUAAAAUAGCAUAAAUCAUGUAGAUCUUCCCUCAUAUGGAUCAUAAGUUCAACACUUGGUGAAAAACAACCAUCCCAAAACACAUAAACUAACUAGAGUUUUGAGUUUAGGAAAUAUUAUACCUUUGAUUCCAACCAAAAUCAACACCCAAUAUUGUUAGAUCUAAACAUGAAACACUUAUAUAUACAUAGAUCUAAGGUUUUAAACCUCAAGAUCACAACUUCAAGUUGACAAAAAUCAAAUCAAACUACCUAGGAAAUUAGCUUACACAAGUAAAUUUUUUUUUUUUUUUAUACCUUAGCUUGAUUUCCUUUCUCCUCCUUCUUUCUUCCUUCCAUGGAUGGAUCUUGGUUUCAUGAGAGCCAAAAUCUCCCCUCCCUCUUCACCAUGAAGUGGCCGAACUCCUCUCUCUCUCUCCCUCUCUCUCUUUUCCUCUUAGCAACUUGGAUGGAUAAAAGAG